rnacentral:rRNA from 1 species
GUCUUCUUGUAGUCUAAAAUAGGAAGUCGAGCCUGCCCGGUGAUAAAUUUUAACGGCCGCGGUAUCCUGACCGUGCGAAGGUAGCGUAAUCAUUUGCCUUAUAACUGAAGGCCUGUAUGAAUGGCUUGACGAGGGUUUGACUGUCUCUAACUUAAUUGUGUAGAAUUUAACUUUUAGGUGAAAAGGCCUGGAUAAAAUUAAAAGACGAGAAGACCCUAUUGAGCUUUUGAAUAUUUUUGGUAUAAUAACGGAAAAUUCUUUAAUUGGGGCAAUUAAGGAACAAAAAAAGCUUCUUUAUACAAAUAGGUUUACGAAUAUUGAUCCACUUUUAGUGAUUAUAGGACUAAGUUACCAUAGGGAUAACAGCGUUAUCUUUCUUGAGAGUUCUUAUUAAAAGAAAGGUUUGCGACCUCGAUGUUGGACUAAAGUGUCCUGUAGAUGCAGAAGUCUUCAAGGGUUGGUCUGUUCGACCAUUAAAACUUU